rnacentral:rRNA from 1 species
GACGAACGCUGGCGGCGUGCUUAACACAUGCAAGUCGAGCGGUAAGGCUCCUUCGGGAGUACACGAGCGGCGAACGGGUGAGUAACACGUGAGCAAUCUGCCCUUCUCAUCGGAAUAACCAUUGGAAACGAUGGCUAAUGCCGAAUACGACUUCCUUUCGCAUGUCAGGAAGUGGAAAGCUCCGGCGGAGAAGGAUGAGCUCGCGGCCUAUCAGCUUGUUGGCGGGGUAACGGCCCACCAAGGCAACGACGGGUAGCCGGCCUGAGAGGGUGACCGGCCACACUGGGACUGGGACACGGCCCAGACUCCUACGGGAGGCAGCAGUGGGGAAUAUUGGACAAUGGGCGAAAGCCUGAUCCAGCAACGCCGCGUGAGGGAUGACGGCCUUCGGGUUGUAAACCUCUUUCAGCAGGGACGAAGCGAAAGUGACGGUACCUGCAGAAGAAGGACCGGCCAACUACGUGCCAGCCGCCGCCGUAA